AAGAAUGAAAUAUAGAACACAUCAAAAGCAACUGAACUGCAAUACCCAGAAGAAAAAUUCUGCAUAUCAAACAAGAAAUUGUAGACCAAUCUGAUAUAUUCAAACUACUUCACUAAUCAUUACAGCACACAGAUCUUCCCCAUAUCUCUUACUCAAAUCAGACUAGCCAGUCCAAAAAAGAAGUUAAGAACACGUAAAAACCCAUAUUCA
rnacentral:misc_RNA from 1 species